rnacentral:rRNA from 2 species
GGUUUAUUCGAAGCAACGCGAAGAACCUUACCAGCACUUGACAUCCGACUAACGAAGUAGAGAUACAUUAGGUGCCCUUCGGGGAAAGUCGAGACAGGUGGUGCAUGGUUGUCGUCAGCUCGUGUCGUGAGAUGUUGGGUUAAGUCCCGCAACGAGCGCAACCCCUGCCAUUAGUUGCUACGCAAGAGCACUCUAAUGGGACCGCUACCGACAAGGAUGGAGGAAGGUGGGGACGACGUCAAAUCAUCAUGCCCCUUAUGUGCUGGGCUACACACGUAAUACAAUGGCCAUCAACAAAGAGAAGCAAUACCGCGAGGUGGAGCAAAACUUCAAAAAUGGUCUCAGUUCGGACUGCAGGCUGCAACCCGCCUGCACGAAGUUGGAAUUGCUAGUAAUCGUGGAUCAGCAUGCCACGGUGAAUACGUUCCCGGGUCUUGUACACACCGCCCGU